CAAAAGGAAUUUGGAAACCUCAUUGUCAAACCCACAAAUAUCUUCCUCUCAGAAGAUAAGUUGUGGUCCGUUCUAUAGAAACUGUGUCAAGGAAAUUCCUUCCUUCCCCCUCCUGAGUGACUUGACCUGUCCAUCAAACGUUCCUGACAUAACACAGUUGCUCCAGGUUUCCAUCCCUCUACAUGCUGUACGUCAAUAAAAGUCAAGGCUUUGGGCUUGUGAGAGGAGAACCAAGAAGAGAAGGAAGAAGGAAGAAGUCGGGAUCAGAGCAGGCAGAAAAUUUUCUGAUGCUGAGAGGCAACUGGGUGGAACAUUGGGUAGAGAUCAGAUCUGGAGUCAAGAAGACCUGCGUUCAAAUCCAGCUUCAGGCACCAGCUGUGGAAUUCUGAAAAUGUUCCACCCUAGAGAAUGGAAGCAUAUAGAAGAGAGAUUAUGAAGUUCAUCUUGUCCCAGUAAGUAAGAACUGGCUUAGACUAGAAGUG
rnacentral:lncRNA from 1 species